UGCUUCUCAAGCUCAAACACUCUUUCAAACAGCAACAGCUUUGAGUGAUGAUAUUUAAUAAUGUUAGUUUUUUUUGACGUCGUCGCUAGAUGGUGUCGCGCACGCGAAAAAAAAAAGAGAAAAGUAGCGGCUGACGUAGUUUCAAAAUGUCGUCCGAUCGCAACGUCUGCGUUGGUUCUCGGGUGUCGGAUCGUCAAAAGGAGCUUCUGCUGGCUUUUGUGAAAGAGCACCCACAGAUCGCGACGCUGUCGUGCCCGCUGGAGCCGUCGUUCACGAGGGAGGACCGGGACGACAUGUGGCAGGAGCUAGUAGCGCUUUUGAACGAAGAAGUCCCUGCGCGUAACACCAGGGCCCAGUGGCAGGCCCGAUGGAGGAAUGAGCGCUACUAUUCGCAGCAGGGUCUUGCCAAACUCCGAGGGCAGCAGAGCGGCACCCGAGGCGGCCAGAUUUCGGAUUACCGCGGCCGCGUCGUGCUUGACAGGGACGAGUGUGCGAGGCCCAUAGUUCGGGUGGUCUGAAUCGGUGAGCCCUGCUCCAGCUGCUACUGGUGUGGCUGAAGAGGAUGUGGCCCAGGAUCUUUCCCGUGCCCCAACUCCUCAUGCCGCAGCUGCGAGAUGGGGGCAACCGGCAGGCCGAGGCGCUGGAGUUACUAGCCGCAAACACCAGGCGGCAGGGCCAGGC